AGCCCGCUCAGAAACUUAAAUGAAUUGACGGGGCCGCACAAGCGGUGGAGUAUGUGGUUUAAUUCGAUGCAACGCGAAGAACCUUACCUGGUCUUGACAUCCCGGAGACCCUUAGGAACUAGGGGUGCUUCCAUCUGGAAGAAUCUGGAGACAGGUGCUGCAUGGCUGUCGUCAGCUCGUGUCGUGAGAUGUUGGGUUAAGUCCCGCAACGAGCGCAACCCUUGCCUUUAGUUGCCAGCAGUUCGGCUGGGCACUCUAAAGGGACUGCCGGUGUUAAACCGGAGGAAGGUGGGGAUGACGUCAAGUCCUCAUGGCCUUUAUGACCAGGGCUACACACGUACUACAAUGGCCGAUACAAAGGGCAGCGACACUGCGAGGUGAAGCCAAUCCCGUAAAAUCGGUCUCAGUCCGGAUUGGAGUCUGCAACUCGACUCCAUGAAGUUGGAAUCGCUAGUAAUCGUGGAUCAGCAUGCCACGGUGAAUACGUUCCCGGGCCUU
rnacentral:rRNA from 1 species